AGCCCAGCACCGAAUCCCGCGGCCGACUUCGGGCGCCGGGAAAUGUGGUGUUAGGGAGGGUCCGUUAUCCCGAGGUUUCGCGACGCGUCCAAGUCCUUCUUGAACGGGGCCACAGCCCACAGAGGGUGCCAGGCCCGUAGCGACCGUCGCCGAUCGCGGGAGGAUCUCUCCUCAGAGUCGGGUUGCUUGAGAGUGCAGCCCUAAGCGGGUGGUAAACUCCAUCUAAGGCUAAAUAUGACCACGAGACCGAUAGCGAACAAGUACCGUGAGGGAAAGUUGAAAAGCACUUUGAAGAGAGAGUUCAAGAGUACGUGAAACCGUUUAGGGGUAAACCUGAGAAACCCGAAAGGUCGAAGGGAGAAAUUCAUUCGCGUUUCGUCGUAGGCGUCGGACGAGAUCGUGCGACGGAAAACGUUUCGCGACGUUUUUCGCGCCUUUCGUUCGACGAUCCGACGACGAACGCGUGCACUUUUCUCUUGGUAGGACGUCGCGAUCCGUUGAGCGUCGGUCUACGGCUCGCGGAGGAGCCCGCGCGUACGGUUCGUAGCCGUUCAAACGCUCGGACCCGCGAGAUACCCGACCGACUCGCUCGACGGUAUAAUUGAAAGGUUCGCGGCCGCGCCUCGGCGCGUUCGACUCGCGACAAGCGCGCCAGAACUUCGUCGGAAAUCGGACCCGGUGCCGAUUCUGACCUCUGGUGACUGUUGGUCGCGUCGUUAUCUCGAACAGACCCGGAACCGAUCAGCGACGCUAUAGCUUUGGGUACUUUCAGGACCCGUCUUGAAACACGGACCAAGGAGUCUAGCAUGUGCGCGAGUCAUUGGGAAUCGCUAAACCUAAAGGCGCAAUGAAAGUGAAGGUUCGUCUCGCGCGAACCGAGGGAAGAUGGGCGGUUUUACGUCGCCCUUAAAAGCGACCGUCCCGCAUUCCCGGGGCGUCUCGUUCUCAUCGCGAGAAGAGGCGCACCAAGAGCGUACACGCUGGGACCCGAAAGA
rnacentral:rRNA from 1 species